rnacentral:rRNA from 1 species
GACGAACGCUGGCGGCGUGCUUAACACAUGCAAGUCGAACGGAAAGGCCCUGCUUUUGUGGGGUGCUCGAGUGGCGAACGGGUGAGUAACACGUGAGUAACCUGCCCUUGACUUUGGGAUAACUUCAGGAAACUGGGGCUAAUACCGGAUAGGAGCUCCUGCUGCAUGGUGGGGGUUGGAAAGUUUCGGCGGUUGGGGAUGGACUCGCGGCUUAUCAGCUUGUUGGUGGGGUAGUGGCUUACCAAGGCUUUGACGGGUAGCCGGCCUGAGAGGGUGACCGGCCACAGUGGGACUGGUAUACGGCCCAGACUCCUACGGGAGGCAGCAGUGGGGAAUAUUGCACAAUGGGCGGAAGCCUGAUGCAGCAACGCCGCGUGCGGGAUGACGGCCUUCGGGUUGUAAACCGCUUUCGCCUGUGACGAAGCGUGAGUGACGGUAAUGGGUAAAGAAGCACCGGCUAACUACGUG